AUUUAAAUAGCUUAUAUAAAGUACUAUAUUGAAGUUAUAGUGAAGAUUAAAUUAAUCUUUAAAUA
rnacentral:tRNA from 1 species